AGCGAACGCUGGCGGCAGGCCUAACACAUGCAAGUCGAACGAACCCUUCGGGGUUAGUGGCGGACGGGUGAGUAACACGUGGGAACGUGCCUUUAGGUUCGGAAUAACUCAGGGAAACUUGUGCUAAUACCGAAUGUGCCCUUCGGGGGAAAGAUUUAUCGCCUUUAGAGCGGCCCGCGUCUGAUUAGCUAGUUGGUGAGGUAAAGGCUCACCAAGGCUACGAUCAGUAGCUGGUCUGAGAGGAUGACCAGCCACAUUGGGACUGAGACACGGCCCAAACUCCUACGGGGGGCAGCAGCAGGGAAUCUUGCGCAAUGGGCGAAAGCCUGACGCAGCCAUGCCGCGUGGAUGAUGAAGGUCUUAGGAUUGUAAAAUCCUUUCACCGGUGAAGAUAAUGACUGUAGCCGGAGAAGAAGCCCCGGCUAACUUCGUGCCAGCCGCCGCCGUAACAC
rnacentral:rRNA from 1 species